UACGUAGGGGGGCAAGCGUUGUCCGGAAUCAUUGGGCGUAAAGAGCGUGUAGGCGGCCCGAUAAGUCCGCUGUGAAAGUCCAGGGCUCAACCCUGGGAUGCCGGUGGAUACUGUCAGGCUCGAGUCCGGAAGAGGCGAGUGGAAUUCCUGGUGUAGCGGUGAAAUGCGCAGAUAUCAGGAGGAACACCAAUGGCGAAGGCAGCUCGCUGGGACGUGACUGACGCUGAGACGCGAAAGCGUGGGGAGCAAACAGG
rnacentral:rRNA from 1 species